UAUGAUGUUUACUUUCCGAAAUGUAAAAGAAUCUUCCUAUUCUCCUUACUUAAGAUCCUAUCAGUAUGUACAGUAAAUACAUGUUCUUGACGUAAAUAUAUGUUAAAAACCAUGAUUGGUCAAAGGUUGAUGCAAACCAUAUAACGGUUAGGGAUGUCUUAUUUUGUACACUCCGACAAACACAGAGAUGUCAAGCAAAUAAUUAAACCGAAAGGAUACAUGAACAUAUAUUUUGGGUAUUAGUGAUUGAGAAUUGCCCGUUUAUUGGGUCAUGUGUGGAGGUGCACUAUAGUUAGGUGAAGAAGACUUGAUGCAUCAUUUUCACUAAAGGUGUUCAAAAAGAAUUAUCAGUCUUAUAUCUGCAUAGAAAUUAUUUUUAUAAAAAGAAUAAACCAAGAUAAAAAGAAGAUAUAAUAAUGCAUAAAUUUUCUUAUUUUAUUGAAGAUGAGAAAAGGUGUGAUUGUCUUGUUGUAGGGACCAACUUAUUUUGAGGUGUUCCAAAGAGACCUUCACUUGCUUUUCUAUUUUUCUCAAAUUGAAGUUAUCCAGAUCAGACCAAAACAAAAAAAUGAACCAUGGCUAUAGUGGAUGAGAUGUGAACUAAUCAGCUGGCAAAUUUGAGAACUGGACAAAC
rnacentral:lncRNA from 1 species